rnacentral:misc_RNA from 1 species
GGGACAAGCGCAAGGUCAUUCGCAAGAGUGGCCUUGCGCUUGUCCC